GACGAACGCUGGCGGCGUGCCUAAUACAUGCAAGUCGAGCGAAUGACGAGAAGCUUGCUUCUCUGAUUUAGCGGCGGACGGGUGAGUAACACGUGGGCAACCUGCCCUGUAGACUGGGAUAACUUCGGGAAACCGGAGCUAAUACCGGAUAAUUCUUUUAGCCUCAUGGCUUUAAGCUAAAAGGCGCUUCGGCGUCACUACAGGAUGGGCCCGCGGUGCAUUAGCUAGUUGGUGGGGUAACGGCCUACCAAGGCAACGAUGCAUAGCCGACCUGAGAGGGUGAUCGGCCACAUUGGGACUGAGACACGGCCCAA
rnacentral:rRNA from 1 species